rnacentral:lncRNA from 1 species
UAUGCCCAAGAGUGGGAUUACUGGGUCAUAUGGUAGUUCUAUGUAUAGAUUUCUAAGGUACCUCCAUACUGUUCUCCAUAGUGGCUGUACCAGCUUACAUUCCCAUCAACAGUGCAGGAGGGUUCCCCUUUCUCCACACCCCCUCCAGCACUUGUUAUUUGUGGACUUAUUAAUGAUGGCCAUUCUGACUGGUGUGAGGUGAUAUCUCGAGGUAGUUUUCAUGUGCAUUUCUCUAAUAAUCAGGGAUGUUGAGCAUUUUUUCAUGUGCUUGUUGGCCAUCUGUAUAUCUUCCUUGGAAAAAAUGUCUAUUCAGGUCUUUUGCCCAUUUUCCCAUUGGGUUGUUGGCUUUUUUGCUGUUAGUUGUAUAAGUUGUUUGUAUAUUUUAGAGAUUAGGCCCUUGUCAGUUGCAUCAUUUGAAACGAUUUUCUCCCAUUCUGUAAAUUGUCUUUUUGUUUUCUUUUUGGUUUCCUUUGCUGUGCAAAAGCUUGUCAGUUUGAUUAGGUCCCAAUGGUUUAUUUUUGCUCUUAUUUCUUUUGCUUUGGGAGACUGACCUGAGAAAAUAUUCAUAAGGUUGAUGUCCGAGAAUGUUUUGCCUAUGUUCUCUUCCAGGACUUUGAUGAUGUCUUGUCUUAUAUUUAAGUCUUUCAGCCACUUUGAGUUUAUUUUUGUGCAUGGUGUGAGGGUGUGUUCUAGUUUCAUUGAUUUGCAUUUGGCUGUCUGGGUUUCCCAGCAAUACUUGCUGAAUAGACUGUCUUUUUCCCAUUUUAUGUUCUUGCCUCCUUUGUUAAAGAUUAACUGACCAUAGGUGUCUGGGUUUAUUCCUGGGUUCUCUAUUCAGUUCCAUUGGUCUGUAUGUCUGUCUUGGUACCAGUACCACACUGUCUUGAUGACUGUGGCUCUGUAAUAUUGCUUGAAGUCUGGGACAGUUAUGCCUCCUGCUUGGUUUUUUGUUCUUCAGAAUUGCUUUGGCAAUUCUGGGUCUUUUGUGGUUCCAUAUAAAUUUUUGGAUUGUUUGUUCUAGGUCUGUGAAAAACGUCAUGGGUAAUUUGAUAGGGAUUGUAUUGAAUCUGUAGAUUGCUUUGGGUAAUAUAGCCAUUUUUACAAUAUUAAUUUUUCCAACCCAGGAGCAUAGAAUAUCUUUCCACUUAUUUAUAUCUUCUUUAAUUUCUUUGAUGAAUGUUUUAUAGUUCUCGGCAUAUAAGUCCUUUACCUCCUUGGUCAGGUGUAUUCCCGGGUAUUUGAUUUUUUGGGGUACAAUUUUAAAAGGUAUUGUAGUUUUGCAUUCCUUUCCUAAUAUUUCAUUGUUAAGUGUACAGAAAUGCGACUAACUUCUGAAUGUUAAUCUUAUAUCCUGCUACUUUGCUGAUUUUGUUCAUCAGUUCAGGUAGUUUUUGGGUUGAGUCCUCAGGGUUUUCUAUAUAUAGUAUCAUGUCAUCUGCAUACAGAGACAGUUUCACCUCUUCUCUUCCUAUUUGGAUGCCUUUUAUUUCUUUUGUUCAUCUGAUUGCUGUGGCUAGGACUUUCAAUACUAUGUUGAAUAACAGUGGUGAGACUGGGCAUCCUUGUCUUAUUCCAGAUUUUAGUAGGAAAGUUUUCAGCUUUUCUCCAUUGAGUAUUAUAUUUGCUGUGGGUUUGUCAUAAAUGGCUUUAUGUUAAGGUAUGUUCCCUCUAUACCCACUUUGGUAAGAGUUUUUAUUAUGAAUGGAUGUUGGACUUUGUCAAAUGCUUUUUCUGCAUCUAUUGAGAUGGUUAUGUGGUUUCUGACUUUUCUUCGUUCAUGUUGUGUAUGACAUGGACUAAUUUGUAUGUGCUGAACCAUCCUUGUGCACCUGGGAUGAAUCCCACAUGAUCGUGGUGUAUGAUCUUUUUGAUAUGUUGUUGGAUUUGGUUGGGUAAAAUUUUGUUGAGAAUUUUUGUGUCUAUAUUCAUCAAAGAUAUUGGCCGAUAGUUUUCUUUUUUGGUGGUAUCUUUGUCUGGUUUUGGAAUUAGGGUGAUGAUGGCGCCAUAGAAUGUCUUUGGGAGUGUUCCUUCUUCUUCAACCUUUUGAAAAAGUUUAAGGAGGAUGGGUAUAUAAGUUCCUCUUUGUAUGUUUGGUAGAAUUCGCCUGUGAAGCCAUCUGGUCCUGGACUUUUAUUUGUAGGGAGUGUUUUUAUGACAUAUUCAAUUUCGUUUCUAGUGAUCAGUCUGUUCAGUUAAUCUGUUUCUUUUUGAUUCAGUUUUGGCAGGCUGUAAGUCUCUAGAAAGUUGUCCAUUUCUUCCAGGUUGUCAAAUUUGUUGGCAUACAAUUGUAGCAUUGUUUUUUAAUAGCAAAAUAUUGGAAAUAACCUAAAUAUCAUCAAUAGGUAAAUAAUGUAAAUAGAAUGUGAUAUGUAGUGCUAUACUAUAUUUACAGAAAUAAACUAAAUUUCUAUGUCUCCCAAUUAGACCUCAAAACAUGAUUUUUAGAAAAAAGCAAGUUGCAGGUUGAUAUGUGCAGUAUGAUACAUUUAUAUACAUUUUAAAAAUAUAUGGUCAGUCUCAGGGUGAGGGACAAAAGGUACAUUAUUUAAAUGAUUUUUACUUCUUUAAGGAAACAUGAAGAAAUUAUAAAAUAAAAUAGUAACAUGGAUUAUUUUUAGAUACCUAAUUAUCUUUUGUCUUUGUAUUUUUUAUAUCUCAUAAAAUAACAAAAAAGUAACACAGAAAAGAAUACACAUGUACACAUCUCCAUCCUUAAAAAUUACACAUUUAAGUUCUACAUUUGGAAUACAAGACUAAAACUGAACAGAUUCCAACUGUCAUUAUCAUCACGUAAUUGUUAUCAGACAAAUUUUAAUGUAUGAAAAUAAGGAGACUGGAGAUUAAAGGUGUUGUUUUGUUCAUUUCUUAGGCCAUUUUAUUAAUUCACUUUUUAAAUAUCUCAAAUUCAUGCUGUACUCUAAAAUAAACAAAACUUCAAAUAUUCUACUUAAAGAAACUGCAUAUUGCUAGGAUGGAAGAAAAGGAAUUAACCAAUGUGGAGACUUUUAGACUUAGGAAAAUAAAAACCUCAUUCAUUAUAUUCACCAUAAAAAGUAGAGCAUUUACUUAUAUCAAUAUUGCACUGGUAGCUACACUUCAUAAGGCAGACACAUAAUGCAUGGAGACUUUGAGGAGGGAAAAGUAGAGAAAAAAAGCAAUUGUGUGAUGAUUAUAUUAGUUCACUAGCAUGUCAUAACAAAGCACCACAUACUAGCUUAAAAUGACCCAAAUUUAUGGUCUUACAGUUCUGGAGACUAAAAGUUCAAAAUCAAGAAAUUAGCAGGGUUGGUUCCUUUUGAGGGUUCAGAGAGAGAAUCUGUGGUAUGCCUUUCUCCCAACUUUUGUUGACAGAUUGGGCAUUCCUUGGUGUGACUCCACCACUCCAAUCUCUACCCUGCAUCUUCACAUGUGUUAAAAUUUUCCCUCAUUUUACAAAGACACCAGUCAUAUUGCAUUAAAGCCAACCUAUUAACUUCAUCUUAAAUUGAUUAAAUCUACAAAAAGCUAUUCCCAAGAAGGUUACAUUCAUAGGUACUGAAAUAGUAUGUAUGACUAGGAACUACAACAUAUAGUAACAACACAUAGUUUUUUGAGGGGACAUAAUUCAACCUAUAAAAAUAUGUAACUCAAAAUCCCUGAAAAAGAUAGUAAGAACUUCAGUGAUAGAGGUGUUCCUUGAAGAAGUGAGUCUUGAGCUAGAGACUGGAAAGAACUUCUAUUAGCAGAGAAUAUUCUAGAUCAGAGGAACCUGGUAUGAAAAAAUGACACUUUGACAAAAAUAACAUGCAUUUAAAAGAAUAUUUUUCUUGCUCAGAAUUACAGUUUUUGGUUUUUAGAAGAACAUUAGGCAUAAUGUAAUCUGACCCCUCAUUCUUGCAUUCCAUAAAUCAUUAAUUGAAUAAUAUUAUCAAGUGGCAGGCACUGCCUAUGCAGGAGAAAAAGAUACUAAGAAUAGGCAGAGCCUCUGUCCUCAUGGAGGAAACAAAGCUAAUAAGUAAUCACACAGACAAAUGUAAAUGUUGUUGACAAAUGUUGGAAUAGAAAAAGUACAGAGCUAUGAGAGCAUAAAAAGGCCUAUUUCAUCAAGUCGAGGCAAUAAUGUUUCCCUGAGGAAGUGCCAUUUUAAUUCACAUCUGAAACGGAAUGAGAGUUUACUAGUGGAAGUACGGAAAAUUCAGCUUUCCAAAGAGAAGGAAAGCAUAUGCAAACAUUCUGGCAGAGAGGAGCUUGGUGAGAACAAGGGACUGGAGGAAGCCAUGAUGGCUAAGGCAGAGAAGGUGAGAUUAGGCAUGGUAGGAGAUGAAGCUAGAGAUGCAAAAAAGAGCCAGCACGUGCAGGAUUGCAUGAGACCUAUCAAGAAUGGUAGCAAGGGCAAAGUUUAAAGAUCUGUAAGGAAAGAAGUGGAAUUAUCAUAUUUAGGCUUCAUAAAAAUCACUCUGGCAACAUAUUAUAAUUUACAGAUAGGAACACUAAGAAUGAAAUAAAUUGUCAUGCCAAAGUCAAAGAACUUCUUAGAAGCAGAAUAGAGUGAAAACCAAUUUAUUUAUUUAUUUUUUUAACACACUAAAGACAAAAACAUAGAAGGAUAAGCCAAAACAAUUACGAAAAUCUCACCAAAAUUCUUAUCAGAUGAAAUCAUGACUUUUAAAAGUUCCUCCUUGGAAAAAACAUUUGUUUCAUAGGUAAAAAUGUUUAAAUUAUUUUCUAAUCUAGAGUUUAUCUUUAAGACUCAUAAUGUAAUAAUGUUUUUUCUUUCCUAGAAAAAUAUGUCUGCAAUUUUCAAAAGAAUGAAAUAAAGACUAUGGUCAGUGUUACAGGAGUAGCUGGAAUCAUGAUCAGAGAUACCUCGACAUGCUGUUUUUAGGUAGAUGCUGCUACAGGAUUAUAUGUAAUAAAACAAUCUGUAGAAAACACAUCUGACUACUAAUGGAACUAAGUUUAGGAUUUUUAAAAAACACUUUUAAUUCAAGUCUCUUUUUUUUUAAACUUAAAAAAAAAAACCAAAACCCUGCUCUUUCUAAUUAUUCAAUAAAAAGAACCAAUUGUUGAUUUCAUCUGAUACAUUUUCCUUAAUGUAAAGUAAAACUAAGUGGACAAUUUCAAUUUGAAUGUUCUCUUCCUAAAGUUACUCUGUCUGUAAAAUUACUUGGAAAAAUAAGAAACUAUAAAUAGAUUUCCCAUGUCUGUGUAGCAUAUGUUUAACUUCUGAUCAUAUGGGCUAAAACAUACUGUCUUAUUGAUUAGUAGAAUUAUUUCUUCAUUUUCACCAUUUGUUUUCAAUCAACAACAAAUAUGUCUAUAAUGCUAGGAACUUUUCAUAAUCAAACAACAAAUAUUUACAGAAUGGCUACUAUGUCCCAAAUCUUGUGUAAAAUAAUAGAGAUUAAAUAAACAAAAUACAGUUUGGUUCCUCCUAGUCUAUUGUCUCAUGGCAGGACCUAGAAAUUAAUAGUUGAAGAACACAGAUUUUAGGGAGUUCCCACAGUGGCUCAGUGGUAACAAAACUGAGUAGUAUCCAUGAGGAUGCAGUAUCAAUCCCAGCAUUGCUAAGUGGGUUAAGGAUUCAGUGUUGCUGUGAGCUGUGGUGUAGCUCGAAGACGCACCUUGGAUCUGGCACAGCUGUGGGUGUGGCCAGCAGCUGAAGCUCCAAUAUGACCCCUAGCCUGGAACUUCCAU